UACAGAGGUCCCAAGCGUUACUGAGAUUCACUGGGUUUAAAGGGUGCGUAGGUGGUGCGUUAAGUCAGUUGUGAAAUCCCCGGGCUCAACCCGGGAAUAGCUUCUGAUACUGGCGUGCUUGAGGCCGGUAUAGGUUACUGGAACGGACGGUGGAGCGGUGAAAUGCGUAGAUAUCGUCUGGAACGCCAGUGGUGAAGACGGGUAACUGGGCCGGUUCUGACACUGAGGCACGAAAGCGUGGGGAGCGAACGGGAUUAGAUACCCCGGUAGUCCACGCCCUAAACGAUGCAGACUAGAUUGCAGCGGGUCUGACCCCGUUGCGGUCGUAGAGAAAUUGAGAAGUCUGCCACCUGGGAAGUACGGUCGCAAGGCUAAAACUCA
rnacentral:rRNA from 1 species